rnacentral:rRNA from 1 species
UACGUAGGUCGCAAGCGUUGUCCGGAUUUACUGGGCGUAAAGAGCGCGCAGGCGGCUGGUCAAGUCCGAUGUGAAAUCUCCCGGCUCAACUGGGAAACUGCAUCGGAAACUGAUCGGCUUGAAGAUGGGAGAGGGUCGCGGAAUUCCCGGUGUAGAGGUGAAAUUCGUAGAUAUCGGGAGGAACACCGGUGGCGAAGGCGGGUCUCUGGGCCGAUACUGACGCUGAGGAGCGAAAGCGUGGGGAGCGAACAGG